UGGGGAGAGUGGUGGUAAAGAGGUAGAGAAAGUAGGGGGUGGGAUGACGAAGAAGUGGGGCUUUGAGGGGGGAGGAAAGGAGAAGAUAGGAGUGCGCAUGCGUGUAAAAGCAUUUGCGCUGCUUUUGCGCGCGGCUGAAAGAAGAAGCCGAAGAGAAGAAGAAGAAGAAGAAGAAGAAGAAGAGAGAAGAAGAAGAAGGGCAGAUAGGCAGGAAGGGAAGAGGAGAAAGGAGACACACUGAGGAGAAACGACGAGACCUCGAUCGAAGUCUUCCUCCGGCGGCGCAUUCAGAUCCGUACGGAUAAAAGCCCUUGCGGAUGUUUUUGCAGAGCGGCCAUGACGGGCAAGCCUUUCCCUCGCUCGCUUACUCGUAGAGAAAGAAGAUAAACUGAUAUAAGUAGUACAACAGAAAUACAGAAAAAAGGAAACGUAGAGUAUGAUGAUAUCGAAAAUCUCCACCGGGGGAUAUAUAUUCGAGAAAAAGAAGAUUACUUCGAAAAGAAAAUGAAGAAGAAAAAAAGAAAAAGGUAUAUAUAUAAGUAUAUAUAUCAUCAAAAUAUAAAGUUAAAUUUUGGAAGUUAUUUUUUAUAUAAAUAUCUACGACGUUAUGCGUAGAGAAACACAGAAAGAGAGAGAGAGAAA
rnacentral:lncRNA from 1 species